rnacentral:rRNA from 1 species
UACAGGGGGGGCAAGCGUUUGUUCGGAAUUACUGGGCGUAAAAGGGCUUGUAGGUGGCCGACUAAGUCCGACGCGAAAAUCCCCAGGCUUAACCUGGGAACUGCGUCGGAUACUGGUUUGGCUUGAAUCCGGGAGAGGGAUGCGGAAAUUCCAGGGUGUAGCGGUGAAAUACGUAGGAUAUCGUGGGAGGGAAACACCGGUGGGCGAA